AACGAACGCUGGCGGCAGGCUUAACACAUGCAAGUCGAGCGCCCCGCAAGGGGAGCGGCAGACGGGUGAGUAACGCGUGGGAAUCUACCCAUCUCUACGGAAUAACGCAUGGAGACGUGUGCUAAUACCGUAUACGUCCUUCGGGAGAAAGAUUUAUCGGAGAUGGAUGAGCCCGCGGUGGUUUAGCUAGUUGGUGGGGUAAAGGCCUACCAAGGCGACGAUCCAUAGCUGGUCUGAGAGGAUGAUCAUCCACACUGGGACUGAGACACGGCCCAGACUCCUACGGGAGGCAUCAGUGGGGAAUAUUGGACAAUGGGCGCAAGCCUGAUCCAGCCAUGCCGCGUGAGUGAUGAAGGCCCUAGGGUUGUAAAGCUCUUUCACCGGUGAAGAUAAUGACGGUAACCGGAGAAGAAGCCCCGGCUAACUUCGUGCCAGCCGCCGCAGUAAAAC
rnacentral:rRNA from 1 species